AGAGUUUGAUCAUGGCUCAGAAUCAACGCUGGCGGCGUGCCUAACACAUGCAAGUCGAACGAGAAAGUGGAGCAAUCCAUGAGUAAAGUGGCGCACGGGUGAGUAACACGUGACUAACCUACCCUUGAGUGGGGGAUAACUGAGGGAAACCUUAGCUAAUACCGCAUAAUACCCACGGGUCAAAGGAGCAAUUCGCUCGAGGAGGGGGUCGCGGCCGAUUAGUUAGUUGGCGGGGUAAUGGCCCACCAAGACAAUGAUCGGUAUCCGGCCUGAGAGGGCGCACGGACACACUGGAACUGAAACACGGUCCAGACUCCUACGGGAGGCAGCAGUGGGGAAUUUUGCGCAAUGGGGGAAACCCUGACGCAGCAACGCCGCGUGGAGGAUGAAGUCCUUCGGGACGUAAACUCCUUUCGAUCGGGACGAUUAUGACGGUACCGGAAGAAGAAGCCCCGGCUAACUUCGUGCCAGCAGCCGCGGUAAUACGAGGGGGGCGAGCGUUGUUCGGAAUUAUUGGGCGUAAAGGGUGCGUAGGCGGUUUGGUAAGUCUUGUGUGAAAUCUACAGGCUCAACUUGUAGUCUGCACGAGAAACUGCCGGGCUUGAGUGUGGGAGAGGUGAGUGGAAUUUCCGGUGUAGCGGUGAAAUGCGUAGAUAUCGGAAGGAACACCUGUGGCGAAAGCGGCUCACUGGACCACAACUGACGCUGAUGCACGAAAGCUAGGGGAGCAAACAGGAUUAGAUACCCCGGUAGUCC
rnacentral:rRNA from 1 species